GGGAUAACACUUGAAACCAGGUGCUAAUACCGCAUAACCAUAGUUACCGCAUGGUAACUAUGUAAAAGGUGGCUAUACUACCGCUUUUGGAUGGGCCCGCGGCGCAUUAGCUAGUUGGUAGGGUAAAGGCUUACCAAGGCAAUGAUGCGUAGCCGAAUUGAGAGGUUGAUCGGCCACAUUGGGACUGAGACACGGCCCAAACUCCUACGGGAGGCAGCAGUAGGGAAUCUUCCACAAUGGGCGAAAGCCUGAUGGAGCAACGCCGCGUGGGUGAAGAAGGUCUUCGGAUCGUAAAACCCUGUUGUUAGAGAAGAAAGUGCGUGAGAGUAACUGUUCACGUUUCGACGGUAUCUAACCAGAAAGCCACGGCUAACUACGUGCCAGCAGCCGCGGUAAUACGUAGGUGGCAAGCGUUAUCCGGAUUUAUUGGGCGUAAAGGGAACGCAGGCGGUCUUUUAAGUCUGAUGUGAAAGCCUUCGGCUUAACCGGAGUAGUGCAUUGGAAACUGGGAGACUUGAGUGCAGAAGAGGAGAGUGGAACUCCAUGUGUAGCGGUGAAAUGCGUAGAUAUAUGGAAGAACAUCAGUGGCGAAAGCGGCUCUCUGGUCUGUAACUGACGCUGAGGUUCGAAAGCGUGGGUAGCAAACAGGAUUAGAUACCCUGGUAGUCCACGCCGUAAACGAUGAAUGCUAAGUGUUGG
rnacentral:rRNA from 1 species